rnacentral:tRNA from 1 species
GUGCCCGUAGUUCAGAGGAUAGAACGCCGCGUUGCGGACGCGGAAGUCGGGGGUUCGAUUCCCUCCGGGCACGCCA